AUGAACGCUAGCUACAGGCUUAACACAUGCAAGUCGAGGGGCAGCAUGGUCUUAGCUUGCUAAGGCCGAUGGCGACCGGCGCACGGGUGAGUAACACGUAUCCAACCUGCCGUCUACUCUUGGACAGCCUUCUGAAAGGAAGAUUAAUACAAGAUGGCAUCAUGAGUCCGCAUGUUCACAUGAUUAAAGGUAUUCCGGUAGACGAUGGGGAUGCGUUCCAUUAGAUAGUAGGCGGGGUAACGGCCCACCUAGUCUUCGAUGGAUAGAGGUUCUGAGAGGAAGGUCCCCCACAUUGGAACUGAGACACGGUCCAAACUCCUACGGGAGGCAGCAGUGAGGAAUAUUGGUCAAUGGGCGAGAGCCUGAACCAGCCAAGUAGCGUGAAGGAUGACUGCCCUAUGGGUUGUAAACUUCUUUUAUAAAGGAAUAAAGUCGGGUAUGGAUACCCGUUUGCAUGUACUUUAUGAAUAAGGAUCGGCUAACUCCGUGCCAGCAGCCGCGGUAAUACGGAGGAUCCGAGCGUUAUCCGGAUUUAUUGGGUUUAAAGGGAGCGUAGAUGGAUGUUUAAGUCAGUUGUGAAAGUUUGCGGCUCAACCGUAAAAUUGCAGUUGAUACUGGAUAUCUUGAGUGCAGUUGAGGCAGGCGGAAUUCGUGGUGUAGCGGUGAAAUGCUUAGAUAUCACGAAGAACUCCGAUUGCGAAGGCAGCCUGCUAAGCUGCAACUGACAUUGAGGCUCGAAAGUGUGGGUAUCAAACAGGAUUAGAUACCCUGGUAGUCCACACGGUAAACGAUGAAUACUCGCUGUUUGCGAUAUACAGCAAGCGGCCAAGCGAAAGCGUUAAGUAUUCCACCUGGGGAGUACGCCGGCAACGGUGAAACUCAAAGGAAUUGACGGGGGCCCGCACAAGCGGAGGAACAUGUGGUUUAAUUCGAUGAUACGCGAGGAACCUUACCCGGGCUUAAAUUGCAGAUGAAUUACGGUGAAAGCCGUAAGCCGCAAGGCAUCUGUGAAGGUGCUGCAUGGUUGUCGUCAGCUCGUGCCGUGAGGUGUCGGCUUAAGUGCCAUAACGAGCGCAACCCUUGUUGUCAGUUACUAACAGGUUCCGCUGAGGACUCUGACAAGACUGCCAUCGUAAGAUGUGAGGAAGGUGGGGAUGACGUCAAAUCAGCACGGCCCUUACGUCCGGGGCUACACACGUGUUACAAUGGGGGGUACAGAGGGCCGCUACCACGCGAGUGGAUGCCAAUCCCCAAAACCUCUCUCAGUUCGGACUGGAGUCUGCAACCCGACUCCACGAAGCUGGAUUCGCUAGUAAUCGCGCAUCAGCCACGGCGCGGUGAAUACGUUCCCGGGCCUUGUACACACCGCCCGUCAAGCCAUGGGAGCCGGGGGUACCUGAAGUGCGUAACCGCGAGGAGCGCCCUAGGGUAAAACUGGUGACUGGGGCU
rnacentral:rRNA from 1 species